GAUGAACGCUGGCUACAGGCUUAACACAUGCAAGUCGAGGGGAAACGACGGGGAAGCUUGCUUCCCCGGGCGUCGACCGGCGCACGGGUGAGUAACGCGUAUCCAACCUGCCUCUGACUGAGGGAUAACCGUUCGAAAUUGGGCCUAAUACCUCAUGCCUUCGUCUGCGGCCAUCCACCACGGAUUAAAGAUUUAAUCGUUCAGAGAUGGGGAUGCGUCUGAUUAGCUUGUUGGCGGGUUAACGGCCCACAAAGGCGACGAUCAGUAGGGGUUCUGAGAGGAAGGUCCCCCACAUUGGAACUGAGACACGGUCCAAACUCCUACGGGAGGCAGCAGUGAGGAAUAUUGGUCAAUGGGCGAGAGCCUGAACCAGCCAAGUAGCGUGCAGGAUGACGGCCCUAUGGGUUGUAAACUGCUUUUAUGCGGGGAUAAAGUGAGGGACGUGUCCUUCAUUGCAGGUACCGCAUGAAUAAGGACCGGCUAAUUCCGUG
rnacentral:rRNA from 1 species